CGUCCUGGUGCGGAGCUCGAUGCGGCUGUGGCUGCCCUGGGGCCUGCUGGGCCUCAUGCUGGGCGGCUCCCUCCUGAAGGCGCUGGCGCCGCUGCCCGACUCCUACCUGAGCAGCAAGCGCAACCUGCUCAACAUUUGCUAUGGGGAUGUAAAUCCAUUGUGGAUUGGAGGGCAGGAGAGCCCAGAUACUCCAGACACUCGUGAAGAGGGAGGGAUGUGUCCACAAGACAAUCUAUUUGGCGGUCACUUGAAAGCUUAAGAACCCUUGUUCUCCAGGUUUCUAGAUUAGAUGCUGUGGUGUUGGGUGCUGUGUAAAUAACCAAGGUAAACAGUUGUGAGUGAUGUAAUUUAGAAACCUCUUCCAUGUAUACCCCUAAUUCCUACCCCUUCCUUGUUGUCUCGAAGGUUAAUAUAUUUAUACGUUUCCUUUGGCUUCUCCCUGGCAGCUAUUUUGUCAAACUGGCCUGGGCCUGGACGUUCUGGCUGCUGCUACCCUUCAUUGCCAUCACCAACUACUAUCUCAGCCGAAAUGUCCUGGGGGUGCUGCGGCGUCUCGGCACCUUGCUGGUGGGCACCGUGGUCUGGUACGUCUGCACUAGUCUCUUCUUGCGCAUAGAGGAUUUCACUGGCAACUGCUACAAAUCGCCAGCACUUGAUGUGCUGUUCCAGGAGCACCCCAGCAAGUGGCAAUGCCGCCAGGGUGGUGGCUUCUGGAAUGGCUUCGACAUCUCAGGGCACUCCUUCCUCCUAACAUACUGUGCCCUGAUGAUUGUGGAGGAGAUGGCUGUGCUGCACGUCCUGAACACUGACCGGAGCCCAAGAUUACAUGUAGUGGUCAAUGCCCUGUUCGUUGCCUUGAGCUUUCUGACCCUGAUCUGGGUCUGGAUGUUUUUUUGCACUGCUGUAUAUUUCCAUGACUUCUCCCAAAAAUUGUUCGGCACCCUAGUGGGUCUGUCAGCCUGGUAUGGAACAUACAGGUUCUGGUACUUGAAAUCCUUUUCUCCUGGACUUCCUCCCCAAAACGCUAGCUUGAGUUCAAAGAAGCCUAAUUGUAGCAGAUAAAAAUUUCUGUAAUUCAGAUUUUGUUUUAAAUACAGGAAUAUUAGUUUGUCCAAUGCUCCUUUUUUUUUUUUUUUUUUUUUUUGAAAAGAGCAUAUUUAAGGGGAUGGGAAGAAAGGCCAAUAGUCUUUACAGCCUGAUGCCUGGCUUGUGGCUAUGGUCCAGUUCCUGGUGAGCAAAUGUUGAUAUCACAGAACUGCCUACCAUGAUUGGGUGUAAUUGGCUACCUAACUGAAAUCUGAGCAAAGAGGCCAAGGGUUGGAUCCAGCCUGGAGACUGAAUUCUCUUCUCCCUUUCUGGGGGUCCUGCUGGGGCAAGCUUGAGGCCCAUUGGCAAGGUGAUGUAAAGAAAGCCUGCACUGCUACUACCUAUGCUCUCUCUACCUGUUCUGUCAAUAAACAGAGGAUCCAGGAUUGGCAGAGAUCUUCAGUCUUUAGGGCUGUCAACCCAACACCUUUCACUGAUCUGAAAUUCAUCAUUCUCUUUCCCACCCCCAUCAUCUUUUUUUAAGAUAAAAUAUUUCACAUGGUCCAAACCUUGUGCUCGGUUUUAAUUUCUGACUUUUUGAAUACUCUAGUUGUGAUCUUUACAAAUGUGCCUGGGGCAGUGUAAUGGUGCUAACUAUUGCAGCAGACUUUUAAUUGGCAAUCAAAAUGCACUUAUUAAAGCAGAAUGUAGCUGGGUUGUGAAACCGGAGCACCUCACAUUCUCAGACUGUUAAAUACUUUCACUUCCCAUAAAUUUUAAUUGGCCAUCUGUAUAUUCAGCAGCAAGAAGAGAGGCUUUUUGCGACCCAGAGCCUAAUGUUAGGUCACAGCUUUAAAUUGACUCCUCCUCUCAAUCUUUGAAAAUGAAAUUCCUAAAAAAUAAGUUUUAUUGCUUCAGAUGAUGAUAAAAAAUUCAAUUUGCUCCUUUAUUCUUAACACUAAUUGUAAAAAUAGCAAGAUGGUAUGUUUUGUUAAAAUGUAAUAAUAAGAUGACUCCUCCCAGUUCUCUGUUAAUUGGCUUGUACAAAAAUGUUAAUGAUUUAAAAGAUUUUUUUUUCAGAUGUUAUAAGUUGCAAAUUUUGUAUUUGCAAUAAAAAAGCUCUGUUUGAUGUGUUCCUUUCAGACGGACGCCCAGCGGAUUUCUGGCCUCAUGUAACAAGUGCACUGGCUGGACCCAUUAUAUCUUGAAUCAUUCUCUUUGUUAGGGGUUGUACGUAAUAUAGCGUUUCUGCCAAGGGUACUAUAGCAAUAUGCUUAAAGAAAUACUUAUUCUUAUCUUUUUGUUGGCAUCAAUAAGCUAUUUUAACUGCAUACUAAGUUGUGGCAAAAAGUGGUAGCCAGUAAAACCCUAUUAUGAUGUACAAAUUGGGAUGUCUAUGUUCUGUCCUUCAUGUGAGAUGGACAUUUAGCAUAAUUUUUAGUUUAAAAAUUUUAUCUGUUUUACAAAAGCCUUAUUCAUGUCAUGAGUAGACAAACCAAAAUCAGUUUCACAACAGUACUAGUGAGUCGAGCAGGCUAUCAAAAGCUUUUGGUAGCUCAUCUGUAUGUCUUCUAAACUUAACUAGUUCUAGUAGCACAGUGAUGGACCUAAUUUUCUACAUCACUUGAUUUUGAGUUGUGUUUUGCUGCCUUUAGGACAAGGGGUUCCAUACCCUGAUCUUAAUAUGCUCAUGUUGCCACCUUAACACUUCUUUCCUAGCCAGAGAGGGAGACCGUCCUGCAAAUACAAACAGGUUAAUUUCUCAUUUGGGGCCUGAUCCUUUGAAAUGCUGACUUCCCUCUGUUCCCAUUGAAUCAAGUGAUGGUUGAGGGUCCUCGGGAGCUCCCAGAAGGCACAAAGCAGAUCUCAGGAUCAGGCUGUCUCAUGAGAUUCCUGUGAGUAGGUGAAAAAUACAGCUUUGUGUUUUGGGUUGUUCUUUGGGUAUGUCUACGCUUUGAGCCAGAGGUAUAAUGUUCAGCUCAAGGAGACAUACCUGCACUAGCUCUGUUCAAGUUAUCACACUAAAAAGUGUAGGCAUGGUGGCAGGAGGUGGCAGCCACCCUGAGUACAAUGCUGUCCAAGCCUCUCUAAGAACAUACUCAGGUGGCUCGCUCAACAUGCUGCCACGGCUACACGGCAAUCUGAGAUAAUCUCUUCAAGCUGGAAAUUACAGCUCCAGUUCGAAUUGUAGUCAGAUCCAUUAUGUCGAACCACCUUUCAGCUGCUUUACUGGACACCUUGUCUACAUGAGAAAGUUGCAUCAGUUUAAUUUAAAUCAGCAUUUAGACUGAUAGGGUUUCACAUUAGUUUAACUAUUUGGUUUAGCUUAAACCUGUUCCCAGUAGAUUUAAACAAAACUGCUAAAAGCCCAGACUCCUGGGCGCAGACACCCCAAGAUCCCACUCUUUCCUGAACUGAUAUUUAUACUCCUUUAUAUUGACAUGAGAGGCCACACACUGGUUAUAUCAGUUUUACUGUAUCUGUUUAAAUUAUGCCGGUGCCACGUUCCCAUGUAGAUAAGGCCUGAGUAGAACCCCAGUAUUAUUAAAAACUAUGCAGUUAAACUGACAGGCUUUUAAAGCUUAAGUUAAAAUUAGCUUCGCCUCUGGAAAACACUGUUUUUGUGCAAUCUGUUUACAAAUACUUCCAUUCACCUAACCAGUGUGUCAUAGUAACUGUUUAUUAUGAUUAUUAAAAUUAAUAGCAUAGGAUAUGAAAAUGCUUGAAACUUUACUGUAACCUCAAUGCUAGUAUGUUAGACAAAUGUAACUGAUCAAAUUCACCUAGAGGACUUACAAGGGGUUGUGUGGUUGAGGUUCAAUUUCUGGAGCCUCUAAAGAUAAAUUAAGGGCCUGCUGCUGCUACUUGUGCCCAUGUAGUUAAUGGGACUACUUGCAUGAGUAAAGACUACUCUGGUGAGUAAGUAUUGCAGGAUGAGACUUUUAAGUUUGUCAUUGAGAAUUCCUAUGGUAUUUGGACACUUCGGUAGGGCCCAAAUUUUCGAAAAUAUGAGGCACGAAAGUGUAUGAGCAAAACAGGUGUUCUAACGUGUGUCCACUGUGCAGACUGAUUGUGUAAUUGUCUACACAUAAAUACCCAUCUGAGCAAACUAUCUUAGUAAUACACCUGCGCUUUGUGCUCCUAGAGUGAAAACUUUGCCCCAUUGAAGUCAAUGGCAAAACUCCCACUGUGUGGCCUGGAUUUCGUUCCUAAUGUGUUUGAAAAUCUCGGGGGUAGGUGUCCAGCCUCAGUACAGAGGCCACACGUUUACCAUUGACUCGGAGAGUUUGCUUGCUGCGUUCAGACAUUGGAACUUUUGUGCCUUUUGAUCCUACCACAGGCAGAUGAUCUCGUCCUUUUCGUUUUCAAUGUUAAUCUAAUAGCUGUCUGAGGAAUUCAACGGCAGGAAAUCUUCUCUCCAUGUGUAUUUUUUUCUCUUUAUUUGGGGGGGGCGGGCAGUUUAUAUUUACCACUGGAAUGAAAAUCCAGUCCCUCCACAUCAAGGGUAAAUUUGCAGCAGAGAAGAAAACUCCACUCUAAACAGCUGGAUUUGGUGUGGAUUGUUGCCAAGUGGACAGAUCUUUUCUUUGAACUUGCUGGAAAUACAUCUGGAAUUUGCAUGAGUUUUAAAAACUAAAACCUGGAAAAAGUAUUUGAGAGGACAGUAUUCAAAUCUUGCAGUGGAUGGUGAUAUGAAGCAAUUGUAAUCAUGAAAUUAUAACUCAUAACAGCCUUGUUUGACUUCCUGAAUUAAAGUCUCUUGCCUACGUUCA